rnacentral:ncRNA from 1 species
GGUUGGACAGGCGAAAGUCUGUUUUCAAGAAAAAUAUGUUUCCUGGGUGGGAAGCU